CAGCAGGAUGGCACCUCCAGUUUGCCUUGAGCAGCCAAAUGCAAAACCUUCUCCAGCUGAGGCAAGUUUCACUGAGGCUCAUCCUCUGGACCUGCUGACAUCUGGGACUCUGACACUGUGCCCUGCUGUACACGGGGAUAAGAGAGCCUGGAAGUGUGAGCUGUGGGUUUGGAGUGAUGCUCCAGUGAUGAGAGCUGCAGGAAGGCCCUUCAGGGAAGGAAUAAUCCUGUCUCAGAGCCUGCCAGAGGUGCCCACGGGACAUACAGGGAGGCCCUGAACCACUGAGGGAGGCUUUUCUGGGAAAAAAUGCAGUUAAAAUCCCUGCCAUCAUGUAUGAUAACAGCAGGAAGCUAAUGCUGCUCCACCAGCAUCCCAGCUCCUGGCAUUUUCUUGUUUUUAAGUGCCUGAGUUCAACCUGAACAAUUUUCUUCUAAUGUGUUCCUCUGUGUGUGUAAAAAAUAAUGGCAACUAAUGCAAACAACCCAAAAUGCAAUGAUUGCAUUUGGGCAGCUGUGGGAACUGCAUCUGUCUCAGGUGGAAUUCCUGCCCUGAAAAAUGAAUUUGCUCCAUCUCUCAAACUUUCUGGUGGAGCUCCCAGCUGGACAGGACAGGAACAAAUUCUCCAGCAGUGUCUCAGGAACACGAG
rnacentral:lncRNA from 1 species